CCUUCUCUCUCGCGCGAACCCCACCCACGGCAGCAAGCCCGCCUCUCUCUUGCGCUAACCCUAGCGUUGCACUCCUCCCUUGCCGCCGCCACCUCCGGCGCCAGAUCCUGGCUGCCGCGUCUCCCUCCGACCUCGCCGCCGGCGCUCCCGCCCUCUCCCCCUCCCUCCCCUCCCCUCACCUCAUCGGAAGAGAAGAGGGAGAUCGUGCACGCGAGCAGGUCAGGCGGCGGCGCCGGCUCCCAGAUCCGCAAGGGCAGCGGCGGCGUUUGCGGUUGACAGGUCCGCCAUGGGCCUGGACCUGGAGUUCCGUCUCAUCCAUGGGGUCGGCUUCCAGAUCCGCGCCCCCAUGGGUUGGACCUGGUGCUCCAUCUCCAUGGCGGCGUCUGCUUCCGCUCGACCAUCUGCGUCCUUCUGCUGCUCGUCGAGAGCGCCGUGGUCGUCGUUGCAGAGACCUCCCGGCCCCGGCUCCGCUGCCUGGCGCGUUUUCAGGUCGUCGGUCAUUCACCUCCCUCUCUCUCUUUUUGCCCCCCGCUCGAUCCCAUCUGCCUAGGUGGUAGCUCUGCGUAGCAUCUGGUCCUUGCCAUGCUCUGUGUGUCUGUCUUUAGAGAUGCUCUGUGUGUCCAUCUUUAGAUGAUUUGAUUUGCAUCCUAGAAUCAAUUCAUUUGCAAUCCAUUUGAUGUUUUGAAUUCAUUUGCACAAUUAGAUCGAGAACAAUUGCCACCAAAAAAACCUUGAGUGCUGCCUAUGAAUUGCCUCCUAUGAAGAGGAUGUAGCAUCUCCACUUAAUCCCCCCCCUGCUCAAUAUUUCUAACUAUAUAUAUGUGCUGUGUGUACCCCUAGCCAAUAAAAAACUAGUUGUUAAUUUGAUUCGCUGCAGUCUGUCUUAAGUUAGCUCCCAGCUGUCACUUCCGUUUACUUGAAUGUUUAGGGUGGUGGAUGAACGAGACGAAUGCAUUGCGCUCCUAAGAAGAUUCUGAACUGCCGAGGCUACCCAACUAGCUGCGAGUAGACAAGCGAGGCAUGGCUUGGUUACUGACUGCGGUUACUGCGCGAGCGCCGACGCGGCGGGGCGGGGCUUGCUCGACCUGUUCGGGCUACUCGUGCUGGUCGACAACAGCCUGUCGGAGUAGACCGCUGUCUACUUCUACCUGGUCAAGGGUGCAGACGGGAAGCUCAGCACUCACUUCUGCCAAGACGCCUUCAGGUCAUUGAAGGCGAACAUUCUCGUCACGGCCGUUUACGGCAGCUUCGUCCCUGUACUUGAUGGAGAAAAUCUGCCAAGCAGAACAGGAAGAAUGUCAUGCCGGCCCGCAUCAUCAAGCACACCAUGGAGAUCAUACACCUCCUCACCGACGCCAACCCCAUAUUCCCUUCUCUCCUUCCUUGAGAUAGCUUGUAUUAUAUGAUGUUAGUUUAAUGGAUGAGAGUAGCAGUAGGAUCGUAUUUUUCUUCAGUUGCUGUCAAUUGUCACUAUUUGUUGUUCCUUCAGAUAGCUAGUAUUAACUGGUUGCUUGCUUCUGUACCAUGCUAUCUAUGGGUUAUUAGUAUUGUUUAUCCUGACCAUGAUCUUGAAUGGUAUAGGAGUACAACAGCACCAGGUUAAUUUGUAGAAGUGCGGUUACUGAAUUUUUUCUAUGCCAUGGUACAAUAAUAAUUCGAAUGGUAGCCAGUUGACACGAGCUGUUUGGCCCAAUUCCUGGUCUCUAUUAGGGGGUACAAUUUAUUACUUUCUGUAUAGAUUUGUUAGCAAUGGAUGAAUUGAUCAGGGAAACAGUUCUGAGCUGAUCUGAAGUUCUGAAUUGGUCCAGCACAUCUGAAUUUGGAGUGCUUUCUGUACUGCAGUCAGUGCCUCAGUGCUAUAUGUUAGUGCCAGGCUGUUCGGCAGUUUUCUGCUUCUCUGCUGGUAGCUUAAUUAUAAGAAUACAAUUCUCACUAAAUGUACUUUGCAUUCUUACUGUAUCUACUCUUGCCACAAUCAUUCUUGUAGCAACUUAUUUAUCAUAGCUAAACAAUAAACUGUAGAGGCAAUUUUGCAGCCUGUCAAUGCCACCAGGAUAACAAUGACCCUUGCCCUCUUAAUUUAUAGUACUUCUGCUCUGCUCUGCUCCUCAUGGUACCCUCAUCUUUGAUUUCUUCCCUUCAACUCUCUGAUGCUGCUUUCCUUCCUCAUGCAGGCACACCCCGAUGCUCCCCUCGGUCUGGGCACCCGAUGCCAGGCAGGCUGUGGAUGCCCCGGACCUCAAUGCCGGCCGUGCUACUCCAGCUGCUCCUGCCCCGGCCAUGCUCAACUUCGCUCCUGGUCAGUUGCCGCAGCUAUACCUUCUCUGCGAGCCCAUGACUGCUCAAACAAAAAGAAAGAGGCUCUCAACUAUUUGUUUAUCCUGGUCCCUUUGAUCAACGUAGUUUUACUGAAACUGUAGUUGGUACUUCCUUAGUGUUUAGUACAUGGUACAUAUAGAGCUGCGUACAACAAUUACAAGAGGCAUUCUCUUGUUGAUGUCAUUGUCUCAAUACCUUUGCAAAUGUAAAAUAUGUUGACAAAGUGUUAAGUUGGAUUACCGCCUCA